UUAUAUAGACCGGCGGCGGAGCACGCGUGUGUGCGGACGCAGUUGCGUGAGGGGUUUCUGCCAUCCUCGGUUCUGUGGAGCAGAGCUAGUUCCUCUCCAGCUCAGCCGCGUAGGUUGAAUUUACCAAAGCAAUGGUGAUGGAGAAGCCUAGUCCCCUGCUGGUCGGGCGGGAAUUUGUGAGACAGUAUUACACACUGCUGAACCAGGCCCCGGACAUGCUGCAUAGAUUUUAUGGAAAGAACUCUUCUUACGUCCAUGGGGGAUUGGAUUCAAAUGGAAAGCCAGCAGAUGCAGUCUACGGACAGAAAGAAAUCCACAGGAAAGUGAUGUCACAAAACUUCACCAACUGCCACACCAAGAUUCGCCAUGUUGAUGCUCAUGCCACGCUAAACGAUGGUGUGGUAGUCCAGGUGAUGGGGCUUCUCUCUAACAACAACCAGGCUUUGAGGAGAUUCAUGCAAACGUUUGUCCUUGCUCCUGAGGGGUCUGUUGCAAAUAAAUUCUAUGUUCACAAUGAUAUCUUCAGAUACCAAGAUGAGGUCUUUGGUGGGUUUGUCACUGAGCCUCAGGAGGAGUCUGAAGAAGAAGUAGAGGAACCUGAAGAAAGACAGCAAACACCUGAGGUGGUACCUGAUGAUUCUGGAACUUUCUAUGAUCAGGCAGUUGUCAGUAAUGACAUGGAAGAACAUUUAGAGGAGCCUGUUGCUGAACCAGAGCCUGAUCCUGAACCAGAACCAGAACAAGAACCUGUAUCUGAAAUCCAAGAGGAAAAGCCUGAGCCAGUAUUAGAAGAAACUGCCCCUGAGGAUGCUCAGAAGAGUUCUUCUCCAGCACCUGCAGACAUAGGUCAGACAGUACAGGAAGACUUGAGGACAUUUUCUUGGGCAUCUGUGACCAGUAAGAAUCUUCCACCCAGUGGAGCUGUUCCAGUUACUGGGAUACCACCUCAUGUUGUUAAAGUACCAGCUUCACAGCCCCGUCCAGAGUCUAAGCCUGAAUCUCAGAUUCCACCACAGAGACCUCAAAGGGAUCAAAGAGUGCGAGAACAACGAAUAAAUAUUCCUCCCCAAAGGGGACCCAGACCAAUCCGUGAGGCUGGUGAGCAAGGUGACAUUGAACCCCGAAGAAUGGUGAGACACCCUGACAGUCACCAACUCUUCAUUGGCAACCUGCCUCAUGAAGUGGACAAAUCAGAGCUUAAAGAUUUCUUUCAAAGUUAUGGGAACGUGGUGGAGUUGCGCAUUAACAGUGGUGGGAAAUUACCCAAUUUUGGUUUUGUUGUGUUUGAUGAUUCUGAGCCUGUUCAGAAAGUCCUUAGCAACAGGGUAAGCAGCUUUUUGUCUUGAUUUUUUUGUUUUUUUAAAAGGGUUUUGGUUCUUUAGAAUAUAUUUAUCUUUACAACUGGGUCUUUAUGUAAAGUGCAGUUUAUUCCAACAUGUUCAGGUAAUUUAUUCCAUUAUUUUCAACCAUUAUUCAAAGACUUGCCUGGGGGUUUAGGAAAACAAAACUUAUGUUUAAGUAACUUAGUUUUUGAAAACAUGAAUUAUGAGAAUGAGAAAAUGAAUAGUUAUCAGUGCACUGAGAUUUACGUAACUACCUUUCCUUGGUGGUGGCUUUUGGUGUACAGGAGAUGAAAUACAAACCUACUUUUAACUAUUAACUAAGAUAAGAGUCAGUUUGCCCAGGGCAGUUUUGGUAUACUGCUGUUUUUAGAGAAUAACUGUUAAGAGCUUCUCCUUUAAAUUAAUAAAUUGGAUUUGGAAGAUAUAUAGUCAACCUACUUGGAACCAUCCUUACUUACAGUACUCUUACCCUGUACAUUCUAAUAAUAGAAGAAUUUGUAGAGUGGAAAUCUUACUGUGGGACCCCCAAAGAAAGCUUCCCCUCCCCUAGCCAAAAACUACUUUUUGUAGUAGUAGAGAAGAACAAGGGUAUAAGUAAUAUUAAUUUACUAAGCUAUACUUUUUUAUUGAGGUGAAGUUUACAUAACAAAAUUAACCAUUUAAAAAUGUACAGCCUAAUUGCAUUCAGAACACAUUAUUGUGCAACCAUUACCUUUAAUUCCAAAAGUUUUUUACUGAAAGCCGUAAGCUCUUUACUCACUAAGCAGUCAUUCCUUGUACCUGUCUCCCCAACCCCUGGCAGCCACUAAUCUGCUUUCUGUCCCUAUAAAUUAAAAAUGUGUACUUUAAACCAUAUAAUAGAAAUAUUGCAGAUCAGUGAUAUUCUCCAGAAUGUUAAUGGGCAUACUGCAAAGUUUUUUUUUUUUUUUUUUUUGAGACAGAGUCUUGCUCUGCCACCCAGGCUGGAGUGUGCAAUGGUGUGAUCUUGCCUCACUGCAACCUCCACAUCCCGGGUUCAAGCAGUUCUCCUACCUCAACUUCCUGAGUAGGUGGGAUUACAGGCGCCUGCCACCAUGCCCAGCUGAUUUUUUUGUAUUUUUAGUAGACACAGGGCUUCCCCACGUUGGCCAGGCUGGUCUCGAACUCCUGACCUCAGGUGAUCUGCCGACCUUGGCCUCCCAAAGUGCUGGGAUUAUAGGCAUGAGUCACCGUGCCCCGCCUCUGCUGGUUCAUUAUUUUAGCUUUCUUUAUCUUUGACAGUGAUAGCUAGCUCAUCAGUACUCUAAGUCUGGUCACCUUGAUUCUUACAGCCCAUCAUGUUCAGAGGUGAGGUCCGUCUGAAUGUUGAAGAGAAGAAGACUCGAGCUGCCAGGGAAGGCGACCGACGAGAUAAUCGCCUUCGGGGACCUGGAGGCCCUCGAGGUGGGCUGGGUGGUGGAAUGAGAGGCCCUCCCCGUGGAGGCAUGGUGCAGAAACCAGGAUUUGGAGUGGGAAGGGGGCUUGCGCCACGGCAGUGAAUCUUCAUGGAUCUUCACGAAGCCAUACAAACCCUAGCUCCAACAGAAUGGUGAAUUUCUUCGACCAGACUUUGGUAUCUUGGAGUAUGACCCCAGUCUGUUAUAAACUGCUUAAGUUUGUAUAAUUUUACUUUUUUUGUGUGUUAAUGGUGUGUGCUCCCUCUCCCUCUCUUCCCUUUCCUGACCUUUAGUCUUUCACUUCCAGUUUUGUGGAAUGAUAUUUUAGGAAUAACGGACUUUUAAAGAAGAAAAAAAAAAGACUGAAUUUCCUUGCUUACUUUGCAUAUACAGACUGGAUUUUUUUUUUUUUUUACAGCCAUUUCCCCAAAGGAAUGUCUUGCAUAUUACUGACAUUUGGUAUGUUUCAUUCAUUGGAAUAUUUCUUAUUUUCUACGUGUUUGAAAAGCCUGUAAGAAAUACAGGAUUUGAUAAUAUUUUGAAGGCAGGAAAAACCCAAAUUGUUCCUUCUUUGAGAGUCAUGACUACCUUCUGGUGUGGAGAAAUUGCCAUUGGAAAAUUUGACAAUUUUGAUUCUCACUGGUAUGUUUAAAAACUGAAUAAAAGGAAUAGAAUUUUUUUUUGAUAAAGGAUCACAAAACAAUUCUAAAACCUAUUGUUUUUACCAUUGAAAUUUAAAUUGUAAUAGGUUUUAAAUGUCUAGAAUGCAACUGAUAGGCUUUUCUUGAACUGUUAGUUUUUUUGAAGUAGUUUUUUCAUGUUUAAUUUGUAUUUGUAAAAAAACAAAAAGCAAAAAAAUUCCCAAAACCCAGAUAACAACCAGAGCAAAACUGUUGUGCCUUCUAUUUAUCUUUGAUUUCAGUCUUGGCAAUUGUGUAAAAGAAAAUCUAGAUUUGUUUUAUUAGGUUCAGAGUAUGUGGGGAAUUAUAGAAUCCCUCUUUCAUCACUUUGUGUAUGUCUUUUGUUAACAUAUUUGUUAUGCCUUAUUCUAAAAUUGAGUCUCAAACUGGAAUGCCUGUGAAGACAGAUGCUUCUAUACAGGUUCUUUGACCUAAAUAGUUCAGCAUUUGUAUUUUUAUUCUGGUAUCUAAUCAGAUUCCUAAUCAUAGCCCGUAAGAAGGAAUGUUACUUUAAUAUUGGACUUUGCUCAUGUGCUCGUGUCCACAUUUUUUUUUCUUAAAAUCAUAGCCAUAUGGUAAAUUUUCUAUUUUGUUAUGGUUCUCUUUUAUUGAUGGGCAUGCAGUGGGUGUUACUUGGAAAUGGCCAAUUUUUAUUAAAAUAUUUCUGGAAGAAAAUUUAA